GAUGAACGUUGGCGGUGUGCCUAAUACAUGCAAGUCGAACGGAGACUGUAGCAAUACUGUCUUAGUGGCGAACGGGUGAGUAACGCGUUGGUGAUCUGCCUCGAAGUGUGGAAUAACCUCCCGAAAGGGAAGCUAAUACCGCAUAGUCUCUCAAGGUUUAGAAAAUUGAGAGUAAAGGAUUUAUUCGCUUCGAGAGGAGCCUGCGUCCCAUCAGCUAGUUGGUAGGGUAACGGCCUACCAAGGCAAUGACGGGUAGGGGACCUGAGACGGGUGCCCCGACAAGUGGAACUGAAACACGGUCCAUACACCUACGGGUGGCAGCAGUAGGGAAUAUUAGAAAUGGGCGGAAGCCUGAUCUAGCAACACCGCGUGUGCGAUGAAGGCCUUGGGUCGUAAAGCACUUUUUGGAGGGAAUAGGAAGGAAGGUACCUCCAGAAUAAGUCUCGGCUAACUACGUGCCAGCAGCCGCGGUUAAAACGCUACUG
rnacentral:rRNA from 1 species